GCCUUCGUGGUGUAACGGUCAACACACUUGGCGCCUAUUUGAGAAGUCCAGGUUCGAGUCCCGGCAAAGGAA
rnacentral:tRNA from 1 species